rnacentral:rRNA from 1 species
AUUGCACGCUAGCGGGAUGCUUUACACAUGCAAGUCGAACGAGUGGCGGACGGGUGCGUAAUAUAUCGGAACGUGCCCAGUAGCGGGGGAUAACUACUCGAAGGAGUGGCUACUACCGCAUACUAUUGGAGCGGCCGAUAGCGGAUGAGCUAGUUGGUGGGGUAAAGGCUCACCAAGUCAACGAUCCGUAGCUGGUUUGAGAGGACGACCAGCCACACUGGGACUGAGACACGGCCCAGACGCCUACGGUAGGCAGCAGUGGGGAAUUUUGGACAAUGGGGGAAACCCUGAUCCAGCAAUCCCGCGUGUAUGAGAAGGCCUUCUGGUUGUAAAAUACUUUUGGCAGAGAAGCGGUAUCUACAGAAUAAGCACCGGCUAACUACGGGCCAGCAGCCGCGGUAAUUC